GAUGAACGCUGGCGGCGUGCCUAAUACAUGCAAGUCGAGCGAACAGACGAGGAGCUUGCUCCCCUGCCGUUAGCGGCGGACGGGUGAGUAACACGUGGAUAACCUACCUAUAAGACUGGGAUAACUUCGGGAAACCGGAGCUAAUACCGGAUAAUAUAUUGAACCGCAUGGAUCAAUAGUGAAAGACGGUUUUGCUGUCACUUAUAGAUGGAUCCGCGCCGCAUUAGCUAGUUGGUAAGGUAACGGCUUACCAAGGCGACGAUGCGUAGCCGACCUGAGAGGGUGAUCGGCCACACUGGAACUGAGACACGGUCCAGACUCCUACGGGAGGCAGCAGUAGGGAAUCUUCCGCAAUGGGCGAAAGCCUGACGGAGCAACGCCGCGUGAGUGAUGAAGGUCUUCGGAUCGUAAAACUCUGUUAUUAGGGAAGAACAAAUGUGUAAGUAACUAUGCACGUCUUGACGGUACCUAAUCAGAAAGCCACGGCUAACUACGUG
rnacentral:rRNA from 1 species